rnacentral:rRNA from 1 species
UGCCGCCGCCGCGGUAAUACAGAGGGUGCGAGCGUUAAUCGGAAUUACUGGGCGUAAAGCGUGCGUAGGUGGAUAUUUAAGUCAGAUGUGAAAGCCCUGGGCUCAACCUGGGAACUGCAUUUGAAACUGAACAUCUAGAGUAUAGUAGAGGGAAGCGGAAUUUCCGGAGUAGCGGUGAAAUGCGUAGAUAUCGGAAGGAACACCAGUGGCGAAGGCGGCUUCCUGGACUAAAACUGACACUGAGGUACGAAAGCGUGGGUAGCAAACAGGAUUAGAUA